UUAACAAGUUUUAUUGAUUACUGAGCGUAAUCCAUGGGUUUUGUAAUGUUUACUUUCAUUUUAGGUAAUUAUACAAAUUGUAUGUUUUGCAUCUUUCGAUGUAUACUUUUAUCGAUACGCUGCAAUAACUGGACUGAUUAUUGCUGCGCUGGUAUUGAUUAUUAUUAUGUUAAUAUCCAGGCAGUCAAAGUGGGACAUAACUAGCUGCAGUUUUUUACCUUUCGUAGGAGUAGUGGCUCUCCUAUUGGCUACUGCGUAUUUUUUUAUUAUUAAUCUGAUGAAGAAUUCGUAUGAAUUUUACAUUAUCUUCAGUGGUGUUGGAGCAGCUAUAUAUUGCAUGCUGCAUAUAUUCAUGAUACAGAUUAUUAUGGCUUACAAGAAAUAUCAGAUAGGUGCAGAAGAUUAUCUACCGGUAAUCGUAUAUUUUUACAUUUUGGAUGUUAGAAGAUUUAUCGGUGUUGAUUGAAUGUAUUAAUAAGUAUUUUGAGAUUUAUAAAUGGUUCAUUUUGACUAUGCUUUAUUGCUGAUUUACAAGAAUGUGCAAAACAAUUAGUUAAACUAAAGACAAUAUGGAUGAGAGACAAUGUUGUUCUGAAUGUGAAGAUGAACAGGAAACCGAAGAAACAAGAGAUAAUUUGAAAUCAGAAAAUCAUAGUUGCGAUCUUAACAACCUUGACAAUAUACCUAUUAGUUUUGAGAAAGAAUCACAAGAUUUAAGGGAAAAGUCUCAAAUAAGUCAUCACAAUGAAGUACAUAGAGACAUGAGUCAAAGUCACCACAAAGCAGUUGAUUUUCCGACAGUCACACCAGAUUAUGAGACAAUUGAAGAACUUCAAAUAAAAGAACAACCAAAUUUAAAUAAUUUCUUGGCAUUACAAUCAGUAAUCAAGGAUAACAAAUUGCCUACGGAAUCACCCCAUUUAAACAGUCAAUCGGUUACCACAGAAAAUGAAACUGUGAAUGAGGAAAAGCAAUUACUUAAUAGAUACAUUGCCACUCCAAAAGAUUUAACAUUUCAACAGCAACUGAAUGUGUACUGCAAUCCAAUAUUGAAUAUGGAUGAAACUCCCUUUCAAGAUAAAGCCACUCGGCAUAAAUUUAUCCGUAAAGUACAGAUAAUUCACUUUUUUAUUCUACUUGUUACUAUAGGGGGUGUUGCCUUAUUCGAUUUUUUACCAAAUUUACACAAAGAAGCAAAUACUAGUAGUACUAUUAUAGAAGGGGGGACCGUAAUAGAGGCAGAAGCUUCGCACACUCAUUCUAUAUAUAUAUCUGUAUUCUUAAUUCCAUUUUGGAUAGCCCUUGGGACAUAACUAGCUGCAGUUUUUUACCUUUCGUAGGAGUAGUGGCUCUCCUAUUGGCUACUGCGUAUUUUUUUAUUAUUAUUCUGAUGAAGAAUUCGUAUGAAUUUUACAUUAUCUUCAGUGGUGUUGGAGCAGCUAUAUAUUGCAUGCUGCAUAUAUUCAUGAUACAGAUUAUUAUGGCUUACAAGAAAUAUCAGAUAGGUGCAGAAGAUUAUCUACCGGUAAUCGUAUAUUUUUACAUUUUGGAUGUUAGAAGAUUUAUCGGUGUUGAUUGAAUGUAUUAAUAAGUAUUUUGAGAUUUAUAAAUGGUUCAUUUUGACUAUGCUUUAUUGCUGAUUUACAAGAAUGUGCAAAACAAUUAGUUAAACUAAAGACAAUAUGGAUGAGAGACAAUGUUGUUCUGAAUGUGAAGAUGAACAGGAAACCGAAGAAACAAGAGAUAAUUUGAAAUCAGAAAAUCAUAGUUGCGAUCUUAACAACCUUGACAAUAUACCUAUUAGUUUUGAGAAAGAAUCACAAGAUUUAAGGGAAAAGUCUCAAAUAAGUCAUCACAAUGAAGUACAUAGAGACAUGAGUCAAAGUCACCACAAAGCAGUUGAUUUUCCGACAGUCACACCAGAUUAUGAGACAAUUGAAGAACUUCAAAUAAAAGAACAACCAAAUUUAAAUAAUUUCUUGGCAUUACAAUCAGUAAUCAAGGAUAACAAAUUGCCUACGGAAUCACCCCAUUUAAACAGUCAAUCAGUUACCAUAGAAAAUGAAACUGUGAAUGAGGAAAAGCAAUUACUUAAUAGAUACAUUGCCACUCCAAAAGAUUUAACAUUUCAACAGCAACUGAAUGUGUACUGCAAUCCAAUAUUGAAUAUGGAUGAAACUCCCUUUCAAGAUAAAGCCACUCGGCAUAAAUUUAUCCGUAAAGUACAGAUAAUUCACUUUUUUAUUCUACUUGUUACUAUAGGGGGUGUUGCCUUAUUCGAUUUUUUACCAAAUUUACACAAAGAAGCAAAUACUAGUAGUACUAUUAUAGAAGGGGGGACCGUAAUAGAGGCAGAAGCUUCGCACACUCAUUCUAUAUAUAUAUCUGUAUUCUUAAUUCCAUUUUGGAUAGCCCUUGGGACAUAACUAGCUGCAGUUUUUUACCUUUCGUAGGAGUAGUGGCUCUCCUAUUGGCUACUGCGUAUUUUUUUAUUAUUAUUCUGAUGAAGAAUUCGUAUGAAUUUUACAUUAUCUUCAGUGGUGUUGGAGCAGCUAUAUAUUGCAUGCUGCAUAUAUUCAUGAUACAGAUUAUUAUGGCUUACAAGAAAUAUCAGAUAGGUGCAGAAGAUUAUCUACCGGUAAUCGUAUAUUUUUACAUUUUGGAUGUUAGAAGAUUUAUCGGUGUUGAUUGAAUGUAUUAAUAAGUAUUUUGAGAUUUAUAAAUGGUUCAUUUUGACUAUGCUUUAUUGCUGAUUUACAAGAAUGUGCAAAACAAUUAGGUACUAUCUUGACGCUGAAUGAUCUCUAAGCUUAAUUAACUAAUCUGCAAUGUUUGCUUGAUUAUCUACGUAUUUAUUUAACAAACCAAUAUGUGUUAUAAGAUAAUUAUUUUUAAACUGCUUUAUACUAACUGUUUUAGUUUACUUAAAACUGUAAC
rnacentral:misc_RNA from 1 species